rnacentral:lncRNA from 1 species
CAAGAGCACCUUGACUCGUGUCUCAGAAGCAAGGCUGCUGGUGCAGCUGGAGCAACGCUCUCUCUGGAGCAGAGUCUUCACCCUUGACUGGAAGGAGUGAAACACGCUGUGCUGCCCUAAAUCACCAUGGCACCAUCACAGCAGAAUUUAAAAAGCCUAGUGAAGGAAGGAGCUGUGGGCUUUCUGCUGGGAACCGUGGGAGGAUGUGCACUGGGAGCCACAAUGUCACCAGUGAACAAGGCCAUGACGGAGAUCAUUUCAGGGUCACUACUGAAACCAGUGACUGAAGGUGUGAGGACUGUGGGACCACUGGGCCUGGGGACUCUAUUGGGAGCAACUGCCCUCACCACAGCGAUGACAGCAGCUGUAGCAGGAGUGACUGUGGCUGCCUUGGUGGCGUUGCUGCUUUUGAGGUUAAAGAGGCACGGGGUUGGUGUGGCAGCUCUAGAUGGAUUUGUAUGGAUUGUGGUCGGGCUGGCGGCAGCCCUGAGCACCACGUCCUGUGGAGCAGUGCUUGGGAUCAUUGUAGAGACACUAACCUUUAGAUCUGGAGUUGUAGCACUGCUCUGGGCUCUGGGAAUCUUCACUGUGGUGAAAACGUUCGUUCACGUCAUUGUGCAACUCACGUGCAAUGAGGUGGAGUGCUGUGGCGUCCUGCAGUACGCUGACGAAGCCAAGGAACAAGAGCAGAAAAGGCUGCAGGCUCUGGAGACUGAGCAGCGAGACCGGGUGACGGUGGAGAUUGAACAAAAGAUACUUGCUUUUGAAAGAGACAAAAGGAUUGAAGAACAAGAUGGGCUGGACAACAGAAUGGCUUGGAAGGCCCGACAGCAGGAGAGAGAGGAAAUGACGAAGCUGCAGCGGGAAGCAUUAGAGCUAGCAGUGCUGCAGAGGACUAUACAGGAGCGUCUGACCAAAGUCUUGUCCAAAUAUGUGGAAUUCCUGGCUUUCUCUGGUAUUCCGAUGACGGUGACUGCAGCUGUGACUGCUGGCUUUGGAAUCUUUGGGUUUGGAGACUACAGAUUCGUUUUUAUCAUUCUUUUAGCUCUAGUGCUUAGCAUGGCCUUCAUGCUAAUGAGGUCAGUGCAUUUGAACUUCUGGAUGUUCUGCGGCUGCGUAGGUAUGUUUGCAACGUUUGCCAUUGCUAUACUUACCGUGCAUGCAGGACAGGAGGCGGUGGAGAUGUCUAUAAAAAUUAGAAAAACAGGACAAGUGCUGACCAAGGACAACAUUACAGCUUGGAUGGACCACAGAGCUUCAGUAGAGGCUGUAGCGGCAGGAUUCUUUGUCUCAAAAAUGUGUCAGGUUGGCUUAGGGGCCUCUGUUGGAGGUGCUCUAGAGCCAAAGGUUUUGGAUAAAGUCUUAGUGGGAUCAUCUGUAGCGACAGUGGCUAUUAUUUCAAUGACUGAGACUUCGUCAGUACUUUUAGGGGUUGGUGGGGUGACAGGGUCAUUGCUAGGGGCUCUAGGGGCAGCUGGAGUUUCUCUAGGAGCAGCUGCAGUUGUGGCCGUUCGGUGGUCCUCAUGGGUAGGAACUAUAUGCACCACAGCUGGAAUGCUAUUCGGAGCUUUAGCCAUUGGACAGUGGGACAUUGUUAACACUGGACUGCAGGUGCUUGUUGCCUACAUGUUUUCAAAGAUAAGUCCCUAUUGACUCAGUCUGGUGGUGUGAAUGUCUCAACAUUGUCUCAGGGGUGUCUCAGCGGUUAGGUCACUGGAUAAUUGAUAACAGGGUUGUAGGUUUAAAAACCUGUGUCUGAUAAGCUGCCAAUAUUGGGCCCUUAAGCAAGGACCUUAAACUCCAACACUAGGCAUGUGUGUGUGUGUGUGUGACCAAUGCAAAACACUUAUCUCCAUUUUUGUCGAUUUUUAGUUUACUACAUAAUUUGAACAGACAAACAAAAAAAAAUGACCUGAAAUAAACUCUUUUUACAUUGACUUCCA